AGUCGAGCGGACAGAUGGGAGCUUGCUCCCUGAUGUUAGCGGCGGACGGGUGAGUAACACGUGGGUAACCUGCCUGUAAGACUGGGAUAACUCCGGGAAACCGGGGCUAAUACCGGAUGCUUGUUUGAACCGCAUGGUUCAAACAUAAAAGGUGGCUUCGGCUACCACUUACAGAUGGACCCGCGGCGCAUUAGCUAGUUGGUGAGGUAAUGGCUCACCAAGGCAACGAUGCGUAGCCGACCUGAGAGGGUGAUCGGCCACACUGGGACUGAGACACGGCCCAGACUCCUACGGGAGGCAGCAGUAGGGAAUCUUCCGCAAUGGACGAAAGUCUGACGGAGCAACGCCGCGUGAGUGAUGAAGGUUUUCGGAUCGUAAAGCUCUGUUGUUAGGGAAGAACAAGUGCCGUUCAAAUAGGGCGGCACCUUGACGGUACCUAACCAGAAAGCCACGGCUAACUACGUGCCAGCAGCCGCGGUAAUACGUAGGUGGCAAGCGUUGUCCGGAAUUAUUGGGCGUAAAGGGCUCGCAGGCGGUUUCUUAAGUCUGAUGUGAAAGCCCCCGGCUCAACCGGGGAGGGUCAUUGGAAACUGGGGAACUUGAGUGCAGAAGAGGAGAGUGGAAUUCCACGUGUAGCGG
rnacentral:rRNA from 1 species